rnacentral:rRNA from 1 species
AUUGAACGCUGGCGGCAUGCCUUACACAUGCAAGUCGAACGGUAACAGGUCUUCGGAUGCUGACGAGUGGCGAACGGGUGAGUAAUAUAUCGGAACGUGCCCAGUCGUGGGGGAUAACGCAGCGAAAGCUGUGCUAAUACCGCAUACGAUCUAUGGAUGAGAGCGGGGGAUCGCAAGACCUCGCGCGAUUGGAGCGGCCGAUAUCAGAUUAGGUAGUUGGUGGGGUAAAGGCCCACCAAGCCAACGAUCUGUAGCUGGUCUGAGAGGACGACCAGCCACACUGGAACUGAGACACGGUCCAGACUCCUACGGGAGGCAGCAGUGGGGAAUUUUGGACAAUGGGCGCAAGCCUGAUCCAGCAAUGCCGCGUGCAGGAUGAAGGCCUUCGGGUUGUAAACUAGCUUUUGUACGGAACGAAAAGGACUCUGGUUAAUACCUGGGGCUCAUGACGGUACCGUAAGAAUAAGCACCGGCUAACUAACUGCCAGA